rnacentral:lncRNA from 1 species
GUCGGAGUCAAGCUUCUUAGAAAUGGACGUGCUUCUUCCGGGAUCUCUUUCUCCUUCCACCAGCUAAAUGCAGAUAGCAACAACCACACAGUGGGGACACAGAGAAGUGAAGCCUGGGGCCCUGAAUGAUCACAUGGAAGAGACUCACCCUUCUGGUUUCAAUAUUUGACUUAUAGUGGUACUGUCCCACACUGCUGGCAACCCCAGAAGUGCCAUCAGUGACCCCGAACCCUGCUGAAGGCCUACACCUGCUGAAGAAGCUCAUGCCCAGUUUGAACCCACUCAUGACUGAGCCCAAGGACAGUCUUGUCUGUGCCAAGGGUCCUGGCGGCUGCGUUGAAGGACUGAAGAGAAGCUCACUACCUAGAGAAAAAAGCCUCAACAAAACGACAAAUACUUCCUGGUGCCAACAAAGAAAAGCCCACACAUGUCUUCCAGCAAAAUCCACUUGCUGUUUGCAUUUGUGAUACGUCUUAUUGUUUUGGAAUGGCUUUUCCCUGAAAUGUUUCCCCUCGGUCCUGUUCUCUAUUCCUUUCUACUCUAAUUUUCUAUUCACUCCCAAGCUGGGGCAGGAUGGGGGAAAAGAAUGAAAGAAGAAACUAUAAACAAAAAUGGGAGUGCUUACGGUAAAAUUAUCUUCACUGUCAUGUUCUGUCUCUCAGGGAAAAAAAAAAUCACCAUUUUGCUUUCUCCACUCUUGACUGUGAAGUUUAAUAUAAGGUAUGGCUCAGUCUUUGUGAUGAUUCAUAACCUGGCUCUAACCAACAAACCAUUGGACCAUCCUGCGCCUCAUCUCUCUCCCCUACAGAGUCUCUCCUUACCUGUCUGGCUUUUGGGUUCCUUACACGUGGUCUCCCCAGAAAGCACUGAGGACUCUGAUUCAUCAUGUCAAGCGGUCAAUUAGAAUCCGGGAAAGCCUCUCUCUGGCCUCACCUUACUUCCUGUACCAGGAGAGAUGCUCAUCAAUAGUGAGAAAGAGUUGAUGGGAUUAGAGUCUGGAAGUGACAACCUCUCCUGAACCUGAACUCAUUGAUUUCUUCGUUUUACAAAACAGUGUUCUUGAAAAAAAUAAACAAAAAAAGGAAAUAAUACAACUAAGAACUCCAAGGUCUAAAUUUUAACCAGCUGUAUCUCAUAACAACAGAAGCUGCAAUGGCCAACAUACGUCAUUUAUAAAACGCCAACUUAUGUGGAUGGGGAUUGGGAUUUAUUGGCCUAAUGCAAAGAGCAUAUAAAAAAUGAGUAGGGAAAAGACUACUGUUUGUGUAUAUAUGUAAUUAUUACAUAUAUUCUUAAAUGAUAUUUAAUAAAUAAUCAAAUGAUUAAAU